rnacentral:rRNA from 1 species
UACGUAGGGGGCAAGCGUUGUCCGGAUUUAUUGGGCGUAAAGAGCGUGUAGGCGGUUUGGUAGGUCCGCUGUGAAAUCUCGAGGCUCAACCUCGAGACGCCGGUGGAAACCAUCAGGCUAGAGUCCGGAAGAGGAGAGUGGAAUUCCUGGUGUAGCGGUGAAAUGCGCAGAUAUCAGGAAGAACACCAGUGGCUAAGGCGGCUCGCUAGUACGGUACUGACGCUGAGACGCGAAAGCGUGGGGAGCGAACAGG